UCGGUACUUGAGUACCGAAUACUCACUCGUGCGGGGCGUCAUUCCAACGGCAAGCCGCAUAAGUCCUGUAUGUGCCCGAGCCAUUCCGACGGCAGGGCGCCGACUACAAAAUACAAGGAG
rnacentral:ncRNA from 1 species